rnacentral:rRNA from 1 species
GUAAUAGCUCACUGGUCGAGUCGGCCUGCGCGGAAGAUGUAACGGGGCUAAACCAUGCACCGAAGCUGCGGCAGCGAACGUAUCACUUAAAGCGAUUCAGCGGGUUACGAUUGACGGAGCGAAGCGACGUCAAAGCGUAUACAAAGUCGAGUCGGUUUAAGGAUACGUUCGUUGGGUAGGGGAGCGUUCUGUAAGCCUGUGAAGGUGUGUCGUGAGGCAUGCUGGAGGUAUCAGAAGUGCGAAUGCUGACAUAAGUAACGAUAAAGCGGGUGAAAAGCCCGCUCGCCGGAAGACCA